GACCAACGCUGGCGGCGUGCUUAACACAUGCAAGUCGAGCGGUAAGGCCCUUUCGGGGGUACGACGAGCGGCGAACGGGUGAGUAACACGUGGGUGACCUGCCCUCAGCUCUGGGAUAAGCCUGGGAAACCGGGUCUAAUACUGGAUAUGACUCCAUGACGCAUGUUGUGGGGUGGAAAGCCUUGUGCGGCUGAGGAUGGGCCCGCGGCCUAUCAGCUUGUUGGUGGGGUGAGGCCUACCAAGGCGACGACGGGUAGCCGGCCUGAGAGGGCGACCGGCCACACUGGGACUGAGACACGGCCCAGACUCCUACGGGAGGCAGCAGUGGGGAAUCUUGCGCAAUGGGCGAAAGCCUGACGCAGCGACGCCGCGUGAGGGAUGACGGCCUC
rnacentral:rRNA from 1 species